GUGGGGAAUCUUCCGCAAUGGACGAAAGUCUGACGGAGCGACGCCGCGUGAGUGAAGAAGGCCUUCGGGUCGUAAAGCUCUGUCAUCAGGGACGAACGGCCGGUGGAGUGGAAAGCCACCGGAUUGACGGUACCUGAGAAGGAAGCCACGGCUAACUACGUGCCAGCAGCCGCGGUAAUACGUAGGUGGCAAGCGUUGUCCGGAAUUAUUUGGCGUAAAGCGCGCGCAGGUGGGAUCUUAAGUCCAUUUUGAAAGUUCGGAGCUCAACUCCGUGAUGGGAUGGAAACUGUGAUUCUUGAGUACCGGAGAGGAAAGCGGAAUUCCCCGUGUAGCGGUGAAAUGCGUAGAUAUGGGGAGGAACACCAGUGGCGAAGGCGGCUUUCUGGACGGUGUCUGACACUGAGGCGCGAAAGCUAGGGGAGCGAACGGGAUUAGAAACCCUUGUAGUCC
rnacentral:rRNA from 1 species